rnacentral:rRNA from 1 species
AUUGAACGCUGGCGGCAGGCCUAACACAUGCAAGUCGAACGAGUGGCGGACGGGUGAGUAAUGUCUGGGAAACUGCCUGAUGGAGGGGGAUAACUACUGGAAACGGUAGCUAAUACCGCAUACCCUCAGAUGUGCCCAGAUGGGAUUAGCUUGUUGGGGGGGUAACGGCUCACCAAGGCGACGAUCCCUAGCUGGUCUGAGAGGAUGACCCGCCACACUGGAACGUAGACACGGUCCAGACUCGUACGGGAGGAAGCAGUGGGGAAUAUUGCACAAUGGGGGCAAGCCUGAUGGAGCCAUGCCGCGUGGAUGAAGAAGGCCUUCGGGUUUGAAAGUACUUUCAGCGGGGAGGCGUUACCCGGAGAAGAAGCACCGGCUAACUCCGUGCCAGCAGCCGCGGUAAUAC